UUCACUUCAGAAAAGGACUGUAGAUGCCCCCCCUCUUUUUCAGCUAAGCAACUUUCUUACACUUCUGACACAGAGUUGAAACUUGGCAUUUUGGAAUUAACUGAGCUGCUUUUCCAUUUCUCCCUCUUCAUCCUCAGAGAUACAAGUCACAAUCCAACACAGACUUACAGCACAUUCCUGUGUCUCUGUACUCAGAAGUAAGUCCCAUGCGUUUACUCCCGGUCAUUCUGCAAAUCACCCACAAAACUGAAAGACAACAAAUCCCUAAAACAGAUAAAAAAAGGGACAGGAGAGUAAAAAAUGAAAGUCCUAAAGAUUGGGUUUUCAGAUAAUUUCAGUGGCAAAAAGUAUGAUUGAAUUGGUUAGUAUUUGCCUGACCAGUUUCAUUAUGAAGUUACCUUCGCUAUUACAUCCAUUACCCUUGAUGAGCCAGCUACAUGGAAAUACUUGUUGCAGAAUUGUAACCGCACAGUGGUUGUAAGACACGCAGUGGAUCCAUGCCAUCUAAUGCUACAGAAAACAUAGGUCAAAUGGACUGUGAGUAUAAGUAUUCCGCUGCCUAGAUGUCAGGCUUCAGGCAAUCAGCUUCCUCCCCGCCAUGGCAGUAGAUAAGCAGAACAAGGAAAGGGAGUCUUCUUACCAGUUAGAAACUUUAAUAAUCACAGUGAGAGAACAAAGAAACCGUCUCCUAGAAAUGGCGGUGCUCCCAGUUAAGAAUUCCACCCCCUUACGUCCCUAUUAAUCCAUGUCACCUCUCUGUCUUAUAACCUGAGCUUGUACCCUUUGUGUUUUGUGUGCUUUCUGUUCUGCCACUUUCUCAGCUCUUCAAGACUGUGGGGAGAGCAGAUGAAUGCUUUCC